rnacentral:lncRNA from 10 species
UGAAAUACAUGACUUAUCAAUGAGGUUAGAAUUACAUUCAUAGAAACAUCAGUGUAUGAUGCUGUUUUGUGGCACAUGCUUCAGGGAAUUGGUUACAUAAACAGGGAUGACUCUCACCAUCUCUACUCUGGAGGACAUGGCUGCUAUCUGGCAGUGACCGCUGCCCACAAAUAUGGAUGUGGGCUCUACCAUAAUUUCCCCUUACAGAAGAACAAAGACUAAUGGAAGGAGAGUCCAACACGGAAGAUACAUUGCUUCUGCAGUUCAAGUCCAUUUUGCUGUAGGUCACCUAUGGGCCUAGCCACCUUCCUGACUUGUCAUCAGCUUUUCUCUGUGUUGUCAGGCCCAGGUCAGGACACCUGGCUCCUCACAGUCACCGAGUCUCAAACCCAGA